CUUGUGACUUACUUCAUAAUCUGCUGUGUAUGAUCACACCGUACUCCUCCAGGCAGACUCACCUUCACAUGGUCAGACUGCAGCCACUGGUCUAAAGGAAUGGCCCACAACUCUCCUUUUCUGGCUAUUAUCGAGCUCCUCACCUGCUCCCAGUCCUGAGAACGAGAAAAGAAAAGUGAACUUUGCUUCUCCCUUAUUCUGUUCAGCAAGAGAGUCAGAUUCAGCAAGCAUUUAUUUAGCACUUGUGAGGCGCAAGGCCCUGGAUUUGGUCUAUAGAGGAUGGCAAAGAUGAAUCCGACAACACUGACAGAAAAACACAAACAGUUCUUCACUCAUACGGUUUAUUUCUGCAUUCAGGUGAUGGUGAUCCAGACAUCUUCACUCUGGAAGUUUAUAAGCAUUUACAAAAGCACAGAAUAAGGAGAAGACACGGCUUUAAGUUCCAGCCUAUUACCUAUGAAACAUGGGCGCUAGUCCAGUGAGAUGUUUCAUUCCUUUAUAGUCUCAGCAUCUUCGUAGUUGGUUCUGUUGUGAGAAUCAAAUGAGUUGCUGGGAUUUGAAAGCUGAGAAUCCAGAGGUUAUCAUUUCUUCCUUCCUGGGUCUCCUUGCACCUGGCUCUUCCCUCCAUGCUUCAAUUUCCACACACAGGCCAGUGGCUUCCCCCUUUAUACACUGCUCACCACCUUCCAUC